CUGACCCCUACCGGUCUUUUGGUGUACUACAGGCUUGUUAGACAUUAUCGCAUUUCAUGUACAAACCAACAAACCACUGCAUUUGCGCCUACACACUGACCCCUACCGGUCAUUCGGUGUACUACAGGCUUCUCAGACAUUAUCGCAUUUCAUGUACAAACCAACGAACCACUGCAUUUGUGCCUACACACUGACCCCUGCCGGUCAUUCGGUGUACUACAGUCUUCUUAGACGUUUUUUGCAUUUCAUGUAUAAACCAAUAAACCACUGCAUUUUCACCUACACACUGACCCCUUCCCCUUUUUUAUGGUUACAGUCACAGAGAGGCCAACAUCCUGCCACUACCUUUGGUGGCCACAAAAAUCCCCUUGCACCAUUGCAUAGAUAGAGCCUCUCAAGCCACUUGGCAACCAGCAGGGCCUGACCUGUCACCAAACAAAGGAUUCAUUGUUUUGCCAUGCGUCUUUAGCUAGCAAGCCAGUACUAGCACAGUGUGGGUUCAUAUAAUAAUGGCUAUCUUCAUGUUUUUUAGUAUGUAUCAAGUAGGUGGUAAGGAUUUCUCUCUACCUAACACUCCAGCUAGAGUCAACACACUUUCACUUGGAGAAGAUGUUGCUAGUCCCACACGACAAUUUUGUCCCAAUACAGCAGACGAUCACAUUCCAGGCUCCAGGCUCUAGCACCUCUGGUAGUACGUAGAGAACUACCAGAGACAAAUUGGGUUGUCUCAUUCUCUUUGGCAAAUCCCAGAUUGGCAACAAUUUCCAUGUUGGCACAUGUAGUUUCAGUGCAUGCAGACUGUUGCAGAAAUGUUCUCAAUAUGUCAGGGCACAUGCAAAAACCAUGUGUCCCAAUAAAUGUACCCUGAACCUUACUUCACGUCUGUAAACAUUAUGCAUUUCCAGUACUUUCUAACUCAUCACCAUUCCAGACAUUUAGUUGAUUUCCUAAUCUCCGAAUUUUUAAAGGCCUUCCAUACAGGUAUUGCAAUAUACUUUUGGGGGAUUCUAGAAUGCCCUAACCUGCAGUCAUCACAGCAGCAUCCAACAGCAUCCAACAGCUUACUCUCAUGGCCCAAGAAAUGGCAGAAAGAUUUCUACCUGGGUCUCUCCGAUCUACACCAUUUACAGCGUGGCGCAAUCCCAUUGGGAUUGUCACAGGGAAUCUUCCCUCACACUGUAACUGAUCAUAGACUUAUCUGCACCUCACGCCUCCCCUACCCCAAGUCUCAACUCCCUCAUACCCUCCAAGGAGUUUUCAAUACAGUAUGCCACCAUUGUUCAUACCGUUACAGCUAUCACUCAAGCAGGGGGGGAAGCCUGGUAAAUUAAAACUGAUAUCACAAACGCAUUUCAGACUGCCACCAUCCACCCUACACUGGCACUUACAGGGCAUUUAUGUGCAGCAGUUAUAUAUUUCUUCUCCCACUUAACUUUCGGGUCAAGAGCAGCCCACAAUCUUCAAUAUAUUCGUUGAACUCUUUGCUGGUUGUGGUUAAAAAUAUCCAGAUGCCCCACAGUCAUACACUCCCGAGAUGAUUUCUUGUUGGUCAAAGGGAACGCCUUUCCCUCUAGAAGCUUCAAGGAAGCCAUUAGUAUGUCUGAACACUUGGAUGUCCCAGUAUUCCCUAAGGUCACAGAAGACCCAGACACUAUCGUUACAUUCCUGGGUAUACAACUUGAUUCGGCAUCCAUGCCAACAAGUUACCAUGUGAGAAAUAGGAACAGUUGCAACAACACCAAUUACCACCUCCUGCUUGGUACUUGCAACCGCAUGGAACUACAAUCCCUACCAGGUUCUUUAAAUUUUGCCAUGUGAAUCAUACCGCAGGCCGCGCUUUCAUCUAAGACCACUUUGUUUUUUCCACACUCCCGCAUGAUGAUCAGGGGCUGUCCCUAGACAACCAAGCCACCGCAGACCUACACAUAUGGUGGACUUUCUUAACCACACGUAAUGGUAAACUAUU
rnacentral:lncRNA from 1 species